GAGCCGGGGUCAUGCUGCUGUAUCUCUAUCCAGCUCUGCACCAGGCACCUGGCUUGGGGCUGGGCACAGAGGAGGAGCCCAAGCCCGUGUGCUACUGAACAGGAUGUGUCCCAGCGUUCUGCGACCUUGAACCUGAGGCCCGGCUCCUCAUCCCGCUUAGGGGAAUGGGGAAAGCACUUUCUUGGCUCUGCCAAGCUGCCACCUGGGUUCCAGUGUGAUGCCUACUACCUGUGUGGGCUUGCCCCAGUCCCUCCCCACCCCAUAAUUCAAACUCAUCCCUUGGGGCUAGCAGGGAUCGGGUUGAGUGCCAAACAUGCAGGAGCAGUCAAUAUAAAGCACCCAGCACAGGACCUGGCAAUCAGUGAGCACUCAGUAAAAGGUAGCUUGGUGCAGACUGUACUCCUAGAGCGACCGUGGGCUGGAUCUCAUAAGCCGCGUCACUUCCGGGAAUGGCAGGAGGGACUAGCCACCGUGCUGCCAGGGUGUGGGAACAGACCAGCUGGGAUCCAGGCAACACAGCCACCCGCACUCCCCAUCUCCUGCAAGGCCCUGAGGACAGACUGGCAUUCCUCUCAAAUCCCCCUGCCCACCCCAGCUGAGCCCUCAGGAGCUUCCCCCAGGCCCUGGGGGGAGGGGGUGGGCAGACCCUGCAGCCCACCAGGAGCUGGGGAGUACUCUGCACCGGGAAGAGCUGAAAGCCCCCGUGCUGCCCCCGCGGAGCCCCCAGGCCAGACACUCCCCACCCCACACCCUCCACGGAGCUGGGAGCCACCCCAGGCCGCCUACCGUGAGUGGCUCUGUGUCCAGCGACAGCACCCUGGCUUUUCCUUGGGAGCAGGGGGUGUCUGUGUGGUCUGUGGCCAGCUGAAUCCAGCCCCAGCGCUGAUCAAAGUUCCGGGCAGUGGUUCCUCCCUUCACGUGGCCCCAGUGUUCCUGGAAUGUCAACAGGGUCACAGGGCCUCGGGAGAUUACACAAUGACCCUGAACUGCUCCCUCGGACGAACACCUGGCGAAGCCAAAGCCCCACAGAGGUCGCGGGCUUGGGGCCUUUAG
rnacentral:lncRNA from 1 species